rnacentral:rRNA from 1 species
CAGUAGCCGCGGUAAUACGUAGGGUGCGAGCGUUAAUCGGAAUUACUGGGCGUAAAGCGUGCGCAGGCGGUUAUGUAAGACAGGUGUGAAAUCCCCGGGCUUAACCUGGGAACUGCGCUUGUGACUGCACAGCUAGAGUAUGGCAGAGGGGGGUGGAAUUCCACGUGUAGCAGUGAAAUGCGUAGAGAUGUGGAGGAACACCGAUGGCGAAGGCAGCCCCUGGGCCAAUACUGACGCUCAUGCACGAAAGCUAGGGGAGCAAAUGGGAUUAGAUACCCGCGUAGUCCCUGUCUCUUAUACA